rnacentral:lncRNA from 1 species
UAUCUUAAAACAAAAUUUUAAAAGUUACUAAGUCACUCAUAAGGAUUUCAGGAAGCACUGCAGUGUAAUAUGCUUAAGAAUGGAGAUGGUUCACAUGUAAAAUGCUAUCACAGUCCUUGGCAUGGAAUAAGUGUCUAAUUAACUUUUACGUAUAAUUAUAAUUAUCAUCUAAAAAGUUCAAAACAGAAGUUGGCCAGGAGAAAGGGUGUCUCCAUCCUUAAAUAUUUUACUCCUUACUGUGUGAUAUAUUAUUUUGUCAGCUUCUUCUAGCUACAAUUCCCAAGGAAGGGAUAGAGAGCAGCAGCUUCCAAGUAAUGACCCAUGUGGGUAUAAAGAGAAAUUUUUAUCAUAUUAGAAAAAAUAUAUUUAUAUACAUGCUACCAACUUUACCUAGAAGAGAAGAGCAAGGGAUUGGAAAACAUAAAUUAGCAUAAAAUCCCUGCUCCAGCUUUUUACACAUACAGAUGUUUUCCUGCAUAUUUAUCCAUCCUUCUGAGCACUGCUCAAAUGUUACACCCUCAGAGAAGCUCUCCUGGACUCCUCAUCCUGGGCUGGAUACUCUGUCACAUGCUCUAAUAGUGUCUGAUACCCUUCCACUAGAACAGGGAUCACUGUUGUAAUUAGGUAAUUAUUUGGGUAAUUAAUUGUUUAACAGCUGUGUCCAGUGUCAGUAUGCAAGCAAGCUCCAUGAAGGCAGUGUUCCUGUCUGCCUGUUCACCCCAAAAUCACCAACACUUGCAUAUGCCUUGCAUGAAACAGGUAAGUGAACAUAAAUGUGUAUAAGGUUGGCAUCC